AAGAGUUAUCAUACUAGCACUAAUGCACCGGAUCCCAUCAGAACUCCACAGUUAAGGGUGUUUGGGCCGGAGUAGUACUAGGAUGGGUGACCUACUGGGAAGUCUUUGUGUUGCACCUU
rnacentral:rRNA from 1 species